AAUCUGAAAAUGAAGAACCGACGAGGCGCCACCAGAAUAACAAGCUUCCCCCCAUGUGAAUUUGCCGCUCCCAAUCCCUCUAUUGAUAUGAAUCCUUUUCUAUCCCGCUCGUAAUCCCCUUUGACGUUGCGUGUUUCAAGGAAGAUGCUGGUGGCGGUGGUUGUAUUCGUGAAAUUAUUUGCGGCGGUGGUAGGUUUGUAUGUUUGUGUUAAUGGUGGUGUGUUUGUAUGUGGCCGGCGGUUGUGAUGGAUUUUGGGGACAUGGAUGAUGAUAGGGUGGUGUGGUGACGAUGGGGAACAAAUUAGGAUUUUUUGGGCAGAUUGGACGAAAGAAGUCCGCAGAGGUUAAUCGAUU
rnacentral:lncRNA from 1 species